rnacentral:rRNA from 1 species
AUUGAACACUGGCGGCAUGCCUUACACAUGCAAGUCGAACGGUAACGGGCCUUCGGGUGCCGACGAGUGGCGAACGGGUGAGUAAUGUAUCGGAACGUACCUUUCAGUGGGGGAUAACGUAGCGAAAGUUACGCUAAUACCGCAUAUUCUGUGAGCAGGAAAGCAGGGGAACGCAAGACCUUGCGCUGAUCUAGCGGCCGAUAUCAGAUUAGCUAGUUGGUGAGGUAAAGGCUCACCAAGGCGACGAUCUGUAGCGGGUCUGAGAGGAUGAUCCGCCACACGGGAACGGAGACACGGUCCAGACUCCUACGGGAGGCAGCAGUGGGGAAUUUUGGACAAUGGGGGCAACCCUGAUCCAGCCAUGCCGCGUGAGUGAAGAAGGCCUUCGGGUUGUAAAGCUCUUUCGGCCGGGAAGAAAUCGUAUCAGCUAAUACCUGGUGCGGAUGACGGUACCGGCAUAAGAAGCACCGGCUAACUACGUGCCAGCCGCCGCCGUAAUAC